GUUAUGGUGGCAGAGCCUGGACAUUGCCAAAGGUCUAAGCCCUUUUCACAGGGGAUCGAANCCCCUCCAUAACU
rnacentral:tRNA from 1 species